CAAACUCAAACGAAAAAGAGCGAAGCUUUUGUCAAAGCUUCACCGUUUCCACUGUGGGGAGGAGGGUCUUUGGCUGCUCCAUGGGAAGGAGUGAGUACCCCACCAAAACUCCAAUUUGGCACGGCUAUAGCAAUUGAGCAACGAUAAAUGAGCCAAGUAGCUAGCGAGCUAAGUGAAACCGAGGCUCGCCGCUCACAAACGACUCAAGUCUCAGGAGGUUCUUCUGUUUUCUCAGGCGAGCCAUUUUCAGCACCAGCAUGCAAUGCACACAUACCACCACGCGUAGCCCAUCGCCCUCGCUUCAGAAAAGAUAGAUACUUUCGCUCCACAUUGAAUGAACAAAGACUCGGGCUUUUCGGCU